rnacentral:tRNA from 1 species
GCAUAGUGUAGCUUAACUAAAGCAUAACACUGAAGAUGUUAAGAUGAACCCUAAAAAGUUCCACAUGCA